rnacentral:rRNA from 1 species
GACGAACGCUGGCGGCGUGCUUAACACAUGCAAGUCGAACGGUGAAGCCCUUCAGGGUGGAUCAGUGGCGAACGGGUGCGUAACACGUGAGCAACCUGCCCCUGGCUCUGGGACAACCACUGGAAACGGUGGCUAAUACCGGAUACGACCCGCCUCGGCAUCGAGUGUGGGUGGAAAGUUUUUCGGCUGGGGAUGGGCUCGCGGCCUAUCAGCUUGUUGGUGAGGUGAAGGCUCACCAAGGCGACGACGGGUAGCCGGCCUGAGAGGGCGACCGGCCACACUGGGACUGAGACACGGCCCAGACUCCUACGGGAGGCAGCAGUGGGGAAUAUUGCACAAUGGGCGAAAGCCUGAUGCAGCGACGCCGCGUGAGGGAUGACGGCCUUCGGGUUGUAAACCUCUUUCAGCUCCGAAGAAGCGAAAGUGACGGUAGGAGCAGAAGAAGCACCGGCUAACUACGUG